rnacentral:rRNA from 1 species
UGGUCUCAAAUCAGGUAGGGCUACCCGCUGAACUUAAGCAUAUCAAUAAGCGGAGGAAAAGAAACUAACAAGGAUUCCCUUAGUAACGGCGAGUGAACCGGGAAAAGCUCAAAUUUGUAAUCUGGCUGUCUUCGAUAGUCCGAGUUGUAAUCUAUAGACGUGUUUUCCGUGCUGGACCGUAUCUAAGUCCCUUGGAACAGGGUAUCAAAGAGGGUGACAAUCCCGUGCUUGAUACGACCACCAGUGCUCUGUGAUACACGUUCUACGAGUCGAGUUGUUUGGGAAUGCAGCUCAAAAUGGGUGGUAAAUUCCAUCUAAAGCUAAAUAUUGGCGAGAGACCGAUAGCGAACAAGUACCGUGAGGGAAAGAUGAAAAGCACUUUGGAAAGAGAGUUAAACAGUACGUGAAAUUGUUGAAAGGGAAACGAUUGAAGUCAGUCGUGUUCUUUGGAUUCAGCUAGUUCUUCUAGUCUACUUCCAUUGAACGGGUCAACAUCAGUUUUGUCCGGUGGAUAAAGGUAUUAGGAAUGUAGCUCCCUCGGGAGUGUUAUAGACUAGUAUUGCAUACACUGGGUGAGACUGAGGACUGCAGCUCGCCUUUUGGCCGGCCCUCGGGCACGUUCGAGCUUAGGAUGUUGACAUAAUGGCUUUAAACGACCCGUCUUGAAACACG